CUGGCAUGGGAUACGGGACGCGACACAACUUGUGCAUGUUGAUCGACUGGGAAUUAAGCUUCCGAAAAAUUAGGAUACAAAUACAGUACGGAUACCGCUAAUAAAAUUAUAUAUUUUUUAUAUCUAAAAUAUUAAUUUUGGUAAAGUAUUGUGAUAUUUCUCACAUGAAUGAAAGAUAGUAAAAUUUUUGUUGAUAGUUUAUAUAUUUUAAGAAUUUUUUUCCAGCAUACAUAGUUUAUUUAUAUUAUCCAAAAAUAAUAUAUGCAAAUAUCAAAAGCUAAAAUAUUUAUCAUUUAUAUUAUAUAUGCAUUAAAAAGUAAAAUAAAAAUCUGUAUAUUUUUUUAAUUGCAUGCGCUUUGGAGUCGCAUUA
rnacentral:lncRNA from 1 species